CCCGCUGAACUUAAGCAUAUCAAUAAGCGCAGGAAAAGAAACCAACAGGGAUUGCCUCAGUAACGGCGAGUGAAGCGGGAAAAGCUCAAGUUUGAAAUCCGAGGUUCUUCCCUUGGAGUUGUAAGCUGAAGAGGUGUCGACCGACGUGGUCCGGGCCCAAUUUCCUUGGAACAGGAGGUCAUGGAGGGUGAGAACCCCGUCCGUGGCUCGGGUGCCUAGUCUUUGUGUCGUGCCCUCGCAGAGUCGGGUUGUUUGGGAAUGCAGCUCAAAAUGGGUGGUAAAUUUCAUCUAAAGCUAAAUAUUGGCGAGAGACCGAUAGCAAACAAGUAGAGUGAUCGAAAGAUGAAAAGUACUUUGAAAAGAGAGUGAAACAGUACGUGAAAUUGUUGAAAGGGAAGCGUUUGGCAUCAGCCCGUGGCGCCCGUCGAUCAGCCGAGCUUCUGUUCGGUGCACUUGACGGGCGUCGGGCCAGCGUCGGCUCCGUCUGCCGGAGAAAGGCAUCGGGAAAUGUGUCACCCCCUCGGGGUGCGUUAUAGCCCUCUGCGUCAUGCGGCACGACGGGGCCGAGGUCCGCGGUUUAUCCUAGGACGCUGGCGUAAUGGUUCCAAGCGACCCGUCUUGAAACACGG
rnacentral:rRNA from 1 species